UGGAAGGUAGGUCAGUGGUUAAGCUGUUGGACUAGUGAUCAGAAGAUCAUGAGUUCAAAUCCCAGCGCUGCAA